CCUCCAUACAAAUAUGUACAACCAUUGAAGCAAGUUGUAUACAUUUGACAACAAAGAAUUAUUCGUAUACACGAACAAAGUACAUAAAAUGUCCAGUUUGCCAUCCCAAAUUAAUCCAUACAAGCCAUCAUACAUUACAUCCAUUAAUGCAAGUCACAAAAGCACCGAAAAGGCAAAAUGUAGACAUGAUUUCCAUCAAUUCAAGUUGUAGAAAGGCAGAAAGAAAAAUAAUCCAUAGAUUCUACUAUAAAGGAUAAUUUAUAUAUUCAUGAUCUUAUAUUUACUAUGCGAACAAAGAGCAUGAAAAGACGAUUUUGCCCCCCCACAACAACCAAGACAUCAAUGAGACUCAUGGGUUUUUCUUGAAAGCCCACCUCACCUAAAAUUUGAACCCUAAACAAAAUAACAAACUGGCCCUACCAACUAGGAAAUACUAUUUCCAUGGUUGUUUUUGCUGCUUCCACUCUGCUUAAACCCUUGACCCAUUCUCAUGCAAAUCCAAAACAAUCUUGGAAAUAGAUAUAUUUCUGCAUCAUGCUGAUCUCUAACUUCAGUCGUUGAUAUUAGAUCGUAAUGGACACUACCAAACAUAACACGAAAGAUUGCGAAAAAUGGUUUCUUUAUGACCUAGUAGUAGAACGGUGUUGAAGAAAUAUAAGAAAAUGAUCAAGAAAGUGAGAAAAAAAUAUGGAAAUGAUUAAAUGAAGGUUGCAGAAUUCAGUUAUGAAGAGGAUUAGGGCCAGAAGGGACUAAUCUUUUCUCAACACCAUAUCUUGGAUCAAUUUCGUAGUCAUCCGUUGAUGGAGGCGGCAGCGGGAAUGGUGGGCAGUGGCGGAUUCUUUUGAGUUGAAAACGGAUUUGCGGCGGGGUUUGGGCAGGGAUUGGGUGGUGCACCGCCAGCUGUCGGUUGUGAUGGUGGCUCUGGGCUUCAGAGAUGGAAAAUAGGGUGAUCAGAAUGAGAAGAACAGAGACAAAGCUCUUCAUUGUGCUAGAGAGAGAGAGAUUUGUUUUGGUGGAAGUUAUACAUAUAUAUAUAUAUAUAUAUAUAUAUAUAUAUAUAUCUGUGGAUAUAACAAGAAGAUUUUGAUGAAAUUCUUGAGAUAAUAACAAAAUGAAAUGGAG
rnacentral:lncRNA from 1 species